AUGAUGAUGUCACUGACUCUACUGCUGGCCACCCUGGGGCUCCUUGUUCAGGGUUCGUCAGGACAAAUCAUCCUGACUCAUUCUCCUGGAUCUCAGUCUGUUGUUCCAGGACAGACUGUCUCCAUCAGAUGUAAAACCAGUUCAAGAGUUUAUAACGACCUCCAGUGGUACCUUCAGAAAUCUGGAGAAGCUCCUAAACUCCUGAUUUAUUAUACUACAAGCCUUCAGCCUGGAGUUUCAGAUCGUUUUAGUGGAAGUGGAUACGGCACUGACUUCACUCUGGCCAUCAGUGGAGUUCAGGCUGAAGAUUCAGGAGUUUAUUACUGUCAGCAGGAUAACAGCUGGCCACUCACACAGUGAU